GACGAACGCUGGCGGCGUGCUUAACACAUGCAAGUCGAACGGAAAGGCCCUGCUUUUGUGGGGUGCUCGAGUGGCGAACGGGUGAGUAACACGUGAGUAGCCUGCCCUUGACUUUGGGAUAACUUCAGGAAACUGGGGCUAAUACCGGAUAGGAGCUCCUGCUGCAUGGUGGGGGUUGGAAAGUUUCGGCGGUUGGGGAUGGACUCGCGGCUUAUCAGCUUGUUGGUGGGGUAGUGGCUUACCAAGGCUUUGACGGGUAGCCGGCCUGAGAGGGUGACCGGCCACAUUGGGACUGAGAUACGGCCCAGACUCCUACGGGAGGCAGCAGUGGGGAAUAUUGCACAAUGGGCGGAAGCCUGAUGCAGCAACGCCGCGUGCGGGAUGACGGCCUUCGGGUUGUAAACCGCUUUCGCCUGUGACGAAGCGUGAGUGACGGUAAUGGGGAAAGAAGCACCGGCGAACUACGU
rnacentral:rRNA from 1 species